rnacentral:rRNA from 1 species
GUGGGGAAUAUUGGACAAUGGGCGAAAGCCUGAUCCAGCCAUGCCGCGUGUGUGAAGAAGGUCUUCGGAUUGUAAAGCACUUUAAGUUGGGAGGAAGGGCAGUAAGUUAAUACCUUGCUGUUUUGACGUUACCGACAGAAUAAGCACCGGCUAACUUCGUGCCAGCAGCCGCGGUAAUACGAAGGGUGCAAGCGUUAAUCGGAAUUACUGGGCGUAAAGCGCGCGUAGGUGGUUUUGUAAGUUGGAGGUGAAAUCCACGGGCUCAACCUGGGAACUGCCUCCAAAACUGCAUGACUAGAGUACGGUAGAGGGUAGUGGAAUUUCCUGUGUAGCGGUGAAAUGCGUAGAUAUAGGAAGGAACACCAGUGGCGAAGGCGACUACCUGGACUGAUACUGACACUGAGGUGCGAAAGCGUGGGGAGCAAACAGGAUUAGAAACCCUAGUAGUCC